rnacentral:rRNA from 1 species
UGGGGAAUAUUGGACAAUGGGCGCAAGCCUGAUCCAGCCAUGCCGCGUGGGUGAAGAAGGCCCUAGGGUUGUAAAUCCCUUUCAGCGGGGAAGAUAAUGACGGUACCCGCAGAAGAAGCCCCGGCUAACUCCGUGCCAGCAGCCGCGGUAAUACGGAGGGGGCUAGCGUUGUUCGGAAUUACUGGGCGUAAAGCGCGCGUAGGCGGACUUUCAAGUCAGGGGUGAAAUCCCGAGGCUCAACCUCGGAACUGCCUUUGAUACUGAUGGUCUUGAGUCCGAGAGAGGUGAGUGGAAUUCCUAGUGUAGAGGUGAAAUUCGUAGAUAUUGGGAGGAAUACCGGUGGCGAAGGCGACCACCUGGACGGGUACUGACACUGAGGUGCGAAAGCGUGGGGAGCAAACAGGAUUAGAUACCCCCGUAGUCC